AAUCAACGCUGGCGGCGUGCCUCAGACAUGCAAGUCGAACGAUUAAAGCUCUCUUCGGAGAGUGCAUAGAGUGGCGCACGGGUGAGUAACACGUAAGUAAUCUACCUUCGAGUGGGGAAUAACGUCCGGAAACGGACGCUAAUACCGCAUAAUGCAGCGGCACCUAAUGGUGACGGUUGUUAAAGGAGCAAUCCGCUUGAAGAGGAGCUUGCGGCAGAUUAGCUAGUUGGUAAGGUAACGGCUUACCAAGGCUACGAUCUGUAACCGGUCUAAGAGGACGGUCGGUCACACUGACACUGAAUAACGGGUCAGACUCCUACGGGAGGCAGCAGUCGGGAAUUUUGGGCAAUGGGCGAAAGCCUGACCCA
rnacentral:rRNA from 1 species